AGAGUUUGAUCCUGGCUCAGGGUGAACGCUGGCGGCGUGCUUGACACAUGCAAGUCGAACGGUAUGUGGCAACACAUAGAGUGGCGAACGGGUGAGUAACACGUGGGAACGUACCCUACGCAGGGGGAUAACUGACCGAAAGGACAGCUAAUACCGCAUAAGACCGAAAGGUGAAAGGUGCAACUGCACCGGCGAAGGAGCGGCCCGCGGACCAUCAGCUAGUUGGUGGGGUAAGAGCCUACCAAGGCAACGACGGAUAGCCGGCGUGAGAGCGUGGCCGGCCACAAGGACACUGAGAUACGGGUCCUACUCCUACGGGAGGCAGCAGUGCGGAAUUUUAGAUAAUGGAGGCAACUCUGAUCUAGCGACGCCGCGUGCAGGAAGAAGGUCUUCGGAUUGUAAACUGCUGUGGUAAGGGAAAAAUGCCAUGUAGAGUGGAAAGCUACAUGGAGGGAUGGUACUUUACUAGAAAGCCCCGGCUAACUACGUGCCAGCAGCCGCGGUAAUACGUAGGGGGCGAGCGUUACCCGGAAUCACUGGGCGUGAAGGGAGCGUAGGUGGCCUGACAUGUCAACUGUGAAAACCCGGAGCUCAACUCCGGACUUGCAGUUGAAACUGCCAGGCUUGAGGACGGUAGAGGAAGACGGAACUGCCAGUGUAGGGGUAAAAUCCUUAGAUAUUGGCAGGAACGCCGGUGACGAAGGUGGUUUUCUGGGCCGGUUCUGACACUGAUGCUCGAAAGCCAGGGGAGCGAACGGGAUUAGAUACCCCGGUAGUCCUGGCCCUAAACGAUGUUCACUAGGUGUGGGGAGCGGAAAGCUUUCCGUGCUAAAGCUAACGCAAUAAGUGAACCGCCUGGGGAGUACGCCCGCAAGGGUGAAACUCAAAUGAAUUGACGG
rnacentral:rRNA from 1 species